rnacentral:rRNA from 1 species
GACGAACGCUGGCGGCGUGCUUAACACAUGCCAGUCGAACGGAAAGGCCCUGCUUUUGUGGGGUGCUCGAGUGGCGAACGGGUGAGUAACACGUGAGUAACCUGCCCUUGACUUUGGGACAACUUCAGGAAACUGGGGCUAAUACCGGAUAGGAGCUCCUGCUGCAUGGUGGGGGUUGGAAAGUUUCGGCGGUUGGGGAUGGACUCGCGGCUUAUCAGCUUGUUGGUGGGGUAGUGGCUUACCAAGGCUUUGACGGGUAGCCGGCCUGAGAGGGUGACCGGCCACAUUGGGACUGAGAUACGGCCCAGACUCCUACGGGAGGCAGCAGUGGGGAAUAUUGCACAAUGGGCGGAAGCCUGAUGCAGCAACGCCGCGUGCGGGAUGACGGCCUUCGGGUUGGAAACCGCUUUCGCCUGUGACGAAGCGUGAGUGACGGUAAUGGGUAAAGAAGCACCGGCUAACUACGUG